UUCCCUCCCUCUCGCGAUAGGGUUCGCGUUCCUCAGCACUGUCGCCCCCGACACUACCGUCUUCCCCGAGCUCUGUGCCUCCAUGCUCGCACCACAAAUCCCGUGCCGCCCGAGGAUGGAGGACCUCAUGGCAAACUCGCGUGGUCGGCGGGCGUAGCGGGGAGGCGUGAUGGGCGGCACGGCGGGGGCAGGAGGGCGGGCGGCGCAGCUGGGGAGGAGGGCAGGUUGCACGACGGGGGUAGGAGGGCAGGCAGUGCGGCUGGGGAGGAGGGCGGGUUGCACGGCGGGGGCAGGAGGACGGGCGGCGCGGCUGGGGAGGAGGGUGGGCGCCGUUGCGAGCAGGCAGGAUGAGGCCGGGCGGCGGCAGGGCCGCGCGGCUGGAAGGAGGCAGCGGUGCUGCGCGGCGAGCGGGCGGCAGGUGGCUAGAGGAGGUAGGGCGACUCGGCUGGAGGGUGGAGGCCAUGCUGCAGGUGGGGCGGCGCCGCAGGUGUGAGGAGGAAGGAGGCAGAGCAGACAACUGGGUUUUUCAGGCAGAGCUCUCUGUUAAUUAAUUCGUAGUACAAAUUUUAGAUGGAUAAGUCUACAAAAGUUCAGACAAAAUGGGAUCCUUUUGCUAUCAAGAUGUUCAAUGAAAUCUGUACAGAAAAAGUUCUUGCUCACAAUAGGCCGCAAUGGUGCUUGAAUAGUUUGGGUUAUGCAAACCUUAUAAGGAAGUUCCAGGAACGUACUAGUAGAUCUUACACCCAAGAGCAAAUGAAGAACACAUGGAAUUCAUUGAAGAAAAAAAUAUGUCCAAUGGAAGACUUUGAAUAGCAGAGCUACUGGAUUGGGGAGGAAUCCUUUGAAUGGAUGCAUUGCAGCCUCUGAAGAUUGGUGGAAGGAACAAAAUGAGGCCAUGCCCGGCUAUAUCACUUUCCAAACCGCAUCAUUUGAGCAUAAAGACUUGCUAAGGGGCAUAUUCAACUCAUAUUCACAAAUCAAAUGAGCUAUCAUUAGCAUUAGGGGCAUGUAUGCCAUUUUACACACAGGAGAAAAUCUAAUAGAAAUGAUCAGGGUUGCCAAACGACCAGCUUAUUCAGGCCAGCCAGCGGAUUCUGCAGACGACAACAUAUUCUCACUAAAUCCAGCUUCUCAGACAAUCGAUUCUCAUAAAAGCUGAAACAAACAAGACCUUUAGUCUGUCAGGCAAAAUAGGACAGCUGAGUUUUGACUUGGUUU